rnacentral:rRNA from 1 species
UACGUAGGGUGCAAGCGUUGUCCGGAAUUAUUGGGCGUAAAGAGCUCGUAGGCGGCUUGUCGCGUCGGCUGUGAAAACCUGGGGCUUAACUCUGGGCGUGCGGUCGAUACGGGCAUCACUAGAGUUCGGCAGGGGAGACUGGAAUUCCUGGUGUAGCGGUGAAAUGCGCAGAUAUCAGGAGGAACACCGGUGGCGAAGGCGGGUCUCUGGGCCGAUACUGACGCUGAGGAGCGAAAGCAUGGGUAGCGAACAGG